GUGCAAAAGUUAUUGCAGAUUUUGCAAUUUUAAUGGCAAAAACCACAAUUACUUUUGCACCAACCU
rnacentral:miRNA from 1 species